GACCUCUGCUGUCAAGCUGAGCCUGGCGGGCAGGGGAGGAGGGGGUGUUCCAGACUCUCCUCUAACCCUGUGACAGCACAUCUCAGCGGCUCUUCAUUACUCUUCCAACUUUGAACUGCUGGGGACUUGGCAUGUCACUCUUGUUGCUGUUAAACGUUUAGGACCCUAGAAGUACUUAUAUGUAAAAAAUCGUGUCAGUCUAUGGAAGAAAACUGCAGUGGAUGGGCAUUUACAAAUGAUUAUCUUGUGUGUAAGGGCUUCGAAAACCAUUGCUUCAGCAGCAUACAUACUAAAAAGUUGGAACAAUACAGAGAAGACUAGCAUGGCCCCUGUGCAAGGACGACAAAAAUUCAUGAACUGUUCCAUAUUGAUUUUUUUAAGCCCAUAAGUGGCAAAGUGGAUUGGCCCCUUUAAGAGUGUUGCCGUCAAGGGAGAACUGAAUUUUACAAACAUGCAUGCAAGCAGAUCUCAAGUUAGAGGGUAUGAAGCUGGUCUACACACAUCUUAUUUCUCUGGAUAGAAAGAGCAGCAGGAUCAAACGGGCUUAAGGGUUUGGGGGCGUGUAGCAUUUGCCAAGCUGGUGCCAAGAAUGGAUGUAGGCACGUGGUAGGAGGGGUCAUGGUAGGAGGAGCGGCGAUGCAGGCAUUUUGCGGCACAGGUGUGGAGAUGGUGGGACAGGGGCAGAAGAUCUGAAGGUCCCUGCAAGACCCUCGAUGACGUCAAGCAGCAGCCUGGGCUGCCUACCAUUGCCCCUUGGAUACUUUUUAAUUUGCAUUUGGAAUGGGCAGACUGAGACAGAGAUGCAUGGAUACUCUAUUUUCAUCUGAGAGUAUCCAUCUACUGGAGACACUCCAUCGGCCGUGAAGGGGCACUUUGUAGACCACGCCAAGGGCUUGAACUUAAUUCUCAAGGCCACAGGGCACCUCUGCAAGAUUUGAAAAGUGACAUGUUUAUGUGCUUUAGAAAUAUUUUUCUGGCUGUGAUAAUGGCCCCAGUAAGAGGUGCCUCACCUGCCCUGCUUCCCUGAGAGUUGCUGGGAGGACCAGCAGCAGCAGCGACCGGCACCUGCAGUUCCUGGCAGCAUUUGCAAAGUCCCUCAUGGGUCUUUUCCCACUGGAUCCCAGGAUGGCGAGCGUGAAAUGAGAUCAA